UACGUAGGGGGCAAGCGUUGUCCGGAAUCAUUGGGCGUAAAGCGCGUGUAGGCGGCUCGGUAAGUCCGCUCUGAAAGCCCCGGGCUCAACCUGGGAACCGCGCUUGAGACUGGAGAACUAGAGUUCGGGAGAGGAUGGUGGAAUUCCCAGUGUAGAGGUGAAAUUCGUAGAUAUUGGGAAGAACACCGAUGGCGAAGGCAGCCAUCUGGACCGACACUGACGCUGAGGCGCGAAAGCGUGGGGAGCAAACAGG
rnacentral:rRNA from 1 species